GUGUGAUACAAACAUUUAAUUUGGUAUUAUUUCUUUACAAAAAUUGAUAAUUCAUUUUGCAGUUCUACUUUAAUACUUUGAUAAAUAAUAUAACAAUGGGAUAUAUAAUGAAGAAAAAAAAAACAUCAGCAUUUUAACAGGCAAACAAUGAAAACUCGUCACCUAUUCCCUCGUUACAUAAAGUACAUAUUCUAUUUUCUCGCGGAAUCCCUUCUCAUCUCCAAUUCUCAAUAGGUUACUUC
rnacentral:lncRNA from 1 species